CUAAUGGUGUCUUUAGACACCACCCUUUGUUUUCUAUAUUUUUUGU
rfam:Picea glauca, whole genome shotgun sequence.